UGCCCACAGGGGCGGAGAAGGGCCAGGUAACCGGGAGGGUCGGACGACCGCAACUAACGCGGGCACGGUGACACUCGGAGAAGAGUCACUGAAGGAGAGACUCGCAUCCCAGCGAGAGCAACAAAUGAAACUUUGAAGGGCGAGUGACGGUCAGGACGCUAAGUUCAGAAGCACGGUGUCGGUUCCCAGGGCCCGGCCGCAGCCGGCUCCAGCCCCGCGUGCGGGGGUCCGGGCGUAAUGGGUCUGGGGUGUGGGGGUUCUCAGGGGAGGCUGAGCCUGAGGAGCACGGAGCCGCCUCCGGUCCCCGUGCCCCCCGUCCGAGCGCCUCCUGCCUGUCCCCGUCCUGGGGUUCUCCUGGAGCCAAGCCCUCUGUGUCCGAGCGAGCAGGCUCCGGCUCCGGCCCCGGGACGGGCACUGGCGCAGGUGCGUCUCCAUCCAAGCCUCUCGACCUUCAAUACGGCACCUCUUUUUCACUACUCUAGAUGAAAUUAUGGGGAACAACAGCGCCACUCCGUUCCUGGUUCAGUGAAGAUCGGGCUGGAAUUUUUUUAAAACAAUGUUUCUAUAGAGGUAAGAAGAAGAGAAGGCACGACGGAAUUCAAAGCAUGAACCUAGAAACUGUAAGUUUCUGACCAAACCCCAGGCUUACCGUCAGUUCAGACGGUGACCCUGCCCCAGGUCCUCGCCUCAGCUCAGCCCUGCCCACAAGGAAAUCUCAGUGCCUGUGCUGAAAUGAUGUCAAUGAUUAGGGUCUCGAGUGAGGCCGGGGCCUGGGAAGCGCUCCUUCCCGGGUGGCCCGGGGGGGGGCGGGGAGAUCCGAGAAACACCAUUUAAUUAGGGGAAACGAGGGCCUGAGCGGUGGCCCUGCGAGGGAGUCGCCCUGCACUCCAUUCCGGCACCUGCUGCCCCCAGCCUGAGGCGCCAUAGAAACAGAAACAAUCACCCAGCGGGCCGACCUUCCCGCUGGAGAACAGCCCUGACGUGCAGGGCUGGCUCCGGGAGGAAACGGGCCUGAGAAGGAGGAAACAGCGAGAGGAAGCUACGCCCCGGCCCUGCUGAUAGAGGCCUUUACCUCGGACAACAGACCUCGGGGCCUGCAGAUACACCCCACCCUCCAGGCUGCCCGCCCUGGCUCAACGGCUCAGGACCAGGGCUUUCCUUCACUAAGUGCAGUGCAACUGGCGGUGAACAGUCCGCUACGCGGGUCCAGAACUCCCUGUGAAGACGCGACUCUCUCUCCAGAGUGUCUAAAUAACGGCCGAAUUUACUGGACGCGCGCGCACUAGGCGCGUUACAGCAGCACGUCCGUGAGGCCCGGUGAACGGCGACACACAGGAGAGAGACACAGAGAACAAGCACGGGAGGGGCAGAGAGAGAGGGAGACACAGAAUCCGAAGCGGGCUCCGGGCUCCGAGCUGUCGGCACAGAGCCCGACGCAGGGCUCGAACCCACGAACUGCGAGAUCGUGACCCGAGCUGAAGUCAGAUGCUUAACCGACUGAGCCACCCAGGUGCCCCAAUUAUGUGUAAAAUUUAAAGUGCUUUUCCUACAUCAUUUCAAACGCAUCCCGAGGCCACGUGGUGUGGGAAGCUGACCACCCGACCCGGAGGAGAUCUAGGUGCUAAUUUCUGCUGUCUCUUACAAAGUCAGAAUCUCUGGUUCUGUAAAAGGGGAAAGGGCUGGGGUCUCUGAGCACAGUCCUGUGGGGAUCAUGGCAUUUUCCUAUCAUUAGUGUGGCUCCACAAAUACCGACUGGGGACAGUACAGAUAAACUAUUCUGGUUAAAGAGAAAGAAACGAAUAAAAACCAAAAAGACAAAAGAAAGAAAUCAAAAUUAAGCCUUAAAAAAAAGAUCUUUUCCCUCAAUUUUAUGUAAAUCUUUUCCUCUAUUCCUUUCAAGCCUCUGAUAUUUUUUAAAAUUCUGACUAAGUUCAUUUUCACUUCCUUUCAUUCACAGAUUUCAUUAGAGGUCACAGUCCAGUGACCUUCGGGGUCGCAGCCCGGCCAGGGUACACCCUCCCCAAAGCGCAGCCUUAUCUCUGUAAGCAGGCAAACAGGACGCGGCCCCCCUUUCCUGCUGUAGCUCAUUUUCAUCCUGAAGCCUGUCUUGACCCGUCCAGGGUGCCGGCUUCCCUGUGCUCCCCCCUCCGGGCCGUGGCUCCGCGCCUGGGCUGCCGGCUUCCCAAUCUGUCCCGAAACGGGAGCCAUAGGCUCUGCGUGUGGCCCACGCGUCCCUCCCCAGGCACAAAACGCCCAAACAAGGGUGCCUGGGGUCAGCCCUUAGAAACACAUUUUUCCUUACGGAUUAAAGAGCAUUUAGGGGAAAACAGCAAAUAAGUUAUUUUACUCUAAGUUUCACAAAUAAAUCUAAACAACUAGCUCAUAUUAUUUUUAAGUAUCACUUACAGGAAAUUGAGACAACCGUGAAUAAAAGGGCAAAGUUGGGCGCUGGAGACGACAGGGACUGCUUAGCUCACACGUUAGCUCUGCCCGCGACGUCACGGGAACAGCGGACUGUGGUUUCGGGAGGUCUGAGCCACACGGCCUGGCUCACAACAGUGACUGGUGGUUAAUUUUUUGCUCCCACGCUGUAGAGCUUGUUGAGAGAGCAACCUUCUGCUGUGACGCAGGGGACCGUGUCACGUCCGUGCUUUCUGACGUGAAAUCCUUGAGGUGUGUUUCAGUCCCUGGGAGAGAUCCCUGACCCCCCUCACGAGCGUUAAAGCGGCCAAGAAAUGCAUGUCAACCACCUCAACCCUGAAGAUCACGACCUGAGCACAUCUGCAAACUCACAAGUGUCACUUUGCACAGAAUUCGAAAGACGUUAAAGACUCUGCAGACCCUAAAGCCGAAAGAUACGAAACCGUAAAGAUAGUUAACUAGGUAUUUUGAGCUUGCUUUUGUUUCCGACUUCUGUUUUCCUGGUCAACAGACCCGAUGGAACCGCGUCACCUGUCCCCCAAGCACAGGUUAGCGCCUCUCACCCGCCCGGCGCUCUGCCCACAAACCUGUUAUCAUCUGCUGCGCGUCAUAGGGCUCCAUGUACCCGUCAUUCUCUCCCACUCUCUCUGCGUCCCUCUGACCUUUUGUCCGCGUGGCAUCGUAAGGAUCGGCAUAGUCUUCUAAAAUGAUGACCUUAAAAGAACCAGAGAGGAGAGCUGCCGGGGGUGAUCACACACCAGGCGGCCAUGGGAUCAAAACCUACUGAAAACGUGCAGAGCCAAAAAGAUCCCCAGCCAGUUCCGAAUGGAUCUGGUCGUGCUGGAUCGUGUCACAGGUGGACAACCAUGUGAUCUGCCGGUGGCAAAAUUGACCGGCAACAAGUCACCCAAACCUUGCUCGACCCCAAGCUCGUCUUCAGGUCUGUUGUCUCCCCAGGCGGUAACGCAUUUGCUGGUGGAAGACAGAGGUGACUGCUGGACUGGUCUAGCACCUUCCCUCCGACUUUGGUCCUUAAUGCCAAUCUGGUGAGCGACACAGGCGAAAGUCAGCCAGUCGCCCAGUGAGCACUGAGCGUCCACCAGCACCGGUGAGGCGCUGUGACAGAGCCAAGUGGAACCAAGCCUGGGUCUCGUCCUUCAGCGAUCUGGAACCUCCGAAGAGAAGGCUUCAGAAGUCUGAGACGCAGUCAGAACUGAACAGCACUGGGGAGGUCUAGGUUCCAUAACUCACAGGCACACAGGUCUCCCCAAGCGACAGAGUUCUGGUCCGUACUUGGCACAAAAACAUCUAACCUUCCAAAACCAGAAAGGUGCCCGGAGAGGUGGCGUGUGUGAUGGGUUCCAGGCUGCAGUUGCUGGCUGACGACGCGGGAGGUUCGGGGACCACGCGGGAGGUUUGGGGACCGGAGCCUGACAGGCUCUUCUCAGGGGGGGAACAGUUUUGCGGGGAGAGUGUGGGGGACAAAAAGCACAGCCCCUGCCCUAUUGUCAGUGUGGCUCCAGAGUAAACAGCUGGGACCGUGUAAACUACCUGCUCCAGCGGAAGAGAAAGAGAGGAAUAAGAACCAAAAGGCAAAGAAAGGUGAAUCCAAACUAAGGGAAGGCCCCAGACCUGCUACGGUCUCUGAUCGCAUCAGAACUCGAGGCAGGGAAUCGCUUGGGCUGGCAGGGAAAGUGACAACAACAGGGAGAGACGAGGAGGGCGGGGGCUGCCUGCCUGGAGGAGGUGGCCUGAGAAACAUGGGGCAUCCAGAAGUGAGGCCCUCGCACCCACCCCCAUCUCCGUCCUCUCACUGCCCGCCAUGAGCCACAUUCCCAGGAACACAGACGACUCAGCCCUCGGCCCUCGGCCGCAAGGUGCUUCCCAUCAAGUCCAACGGUCAGGGGCACCACUGGCUAACAGCUGGGUCCUUGGUCAUCUUUCCACCUGGUCCCCACCCCCGUGCCCGGCGCCACAGAGGCAAGCUGUGAGUGUUUGCGGGAAGAAUGAGUGGAGGGAUGAACAGAGUGCCCGGAGCAGACGCACGCCACGGGCUCCGGGCUCCUGACUGCGGCCAGGCAGGCGGCAAGAGAAAGUUCAAGUCCCCAUGACAGGAAGUGACAUCCUGGGCUGGGGGCUGAGCUCUUCUCUUCUUUUCCACACAGAAGGGUGGGUUUAAAAAACAAGCAAACAAAACCCCAAUUCAUCGCUGUAAGAAUGGAGGGGGUCUCCUCACAGGGUCCCGCUCCUCUCCGUUAAGCGCCUCACAAGGGUCAGCGCCCAGAAGCCCUGGGGGGGGGAGGGUCCGAGAAGGCUUCCCUCCCAGGCUGUGAUUUCCUCACGGGCGUUUCCGGGUCCCACUCUACCCUCCGCAGCCCCUGGAGCCCUGCGCCCCUCAUCCUAUGCCCGGCUGCACAUCACACGUUCACGGAAUGAAUGAAAGGGCUGCAAUCUUGGGGUGCUGGGUGAACUGUGCCUGGAACUUCCAAACCAGCAGACGGGCUGGGGCGUGCGGUCUGCCUGUUCCCCAGGUUCUGAAACCCAUUACCUGAGGGGUGCAGACCAUAAACG